GAUGAACGCUGGCGGCGUGCCUAAUACAUGCAAGUCGAGCGAACAGACGAGGAGCUUGCUCCUCUGACGUUAGCGGCGGACGGGUGAGUAACACGUGGAUAACCUACCUAUAAGACUGGGAUAACUUCGGGAAACCGGAGCUAAUACCGGAUAACAUGUUGAACCGCAUGGUUCAACAGUGAAAGACGGUCUUGCUGUCACUUAUAGAUGGAUCCGCGCCGCAUUAGCUAGUUGGUAAGGUAACGGCUUACCAAGGCAACGAUGCGUAGCCGACCUGAGAGGGUGAUCGGCCACACUGGAACUGAGACACGGUCCAGACUCCUACGGGAGGCAGCAGUAGGGAAUCUUCCGCAAUGGGCGAAAGCCUGACGGAGCAACGCCGCGUGAGUGAAGAAGGUCUUCGGAUCGUAAAACUCUGUUAUUAGAGAAGAACAAAUGUGUAAGUAACUAUGCACGUCCUGACGGUACCUAAUCAGAAAGCCACGGCUAACUACGUG
rnacentral:rRNA from 1 species